AGUGUUGUUAUUGGCGUAGCCAAGGUUCCUUGUGGUGCAAGCAGAGCCGGCUUAAGGUUAGGCAAUGAGACAGAACCAAUUCCUUCGUCAUUUGCUAGGUUGAUAAUGCAGCUUAACAAGGCUCCACGUCAGCAGCUCGUUCACCUGUUCUACUGUAGUUGGCACUGGCAUUUUUGUGGGUGUUCAGUUCUCCCUGUUGCAUACUAGUAAGAACCAACCGUUAUCACGGUUGAGUGCAUCAUCCUUGACCUUGAGGACAAGGUCAAUUUCAAGCGGGAAGGAUUGUAAUGACCCAAAGUUGUUAUGUCUGCAUGUGGCAAUUGAAUAAUCAUGAAAAAAGAAAUUGGGAAUUAGUUUAAAUAAACGGUAGAGAUCGUCAGGAAUCAACGGUGGGGAUUAAUACAUCAAAUAGUCCAGCUCAUCACCAACUCGGCUAAGUCAGCAAAAUCUAUAAAUAGCCUAACCGAAAUUGGGAAAAACAGUUAUUGAAUUGCUAGUACUCUUUUCUUAAAUUCUUAUUUCUAUAGUCUUCUUUAUCUUCUUCGUUUUUCCUAUCUAACCUAGUCUUUCCUAUCUCAUCUUUUUCGUCUUGAGUUGUUAUCUUUUAGUUGUAUACUUGUAACCGUUGACUCUUCUGUAAACAAAAUUCCUUUUUAUUACUGUGAUUCGCAAUUCAUAGUCAUCGUGUUUAGGACAUUACAAGCUAUUUUUGAAACAUCCCAAUAAUUAUUAGGCCAAACCCAUCGAUAGUCCCUCAAACUUAUCCCUAAAAUUCACUUAAGCCCCUAAACUAAGGCUUGUACCUAUCAGACCCCUAAACCCCCCAAAUUUGAUUCAAUCAGGUCUUUUUUGCUUAUGUGGCAUUCCGCGUGUUGUCCACUCACUAGGGGCGCGUGAGGCACGCUUUUUUGAAUAAUUAUCCAAUAGAAAGGUGCCAAGUGGCACUGAGGCUCCAAAAAAUAUUAAUUGAAAAAUUUAUAUUUAAAUUAAUUUAUUAAUAUAAUUUUUAAUUUCUUAAUCUUUUUUUUUUUAAAAAAACACCCCACCUCCUACAGUGUCACCUUCUUCACAGCACCCCACCCCCACCCCACCCCACCCCACGUCUUCAUCGUCUUCACAUGAACAAUUUAUUUUUAAUCCAUCAUAAUUAUUCCAAUUUCUUGAACAAUUCCAACAAUUUUUUUUUCUCCACUAGUAUCACCAUUUCUUGAAAAAUUACAAAAAAAAUCACUUUUUUUUUCAUUUCUUGUAAUUUUUUGCAAUAAAGGUCACUUUUUUCUCCUUUAAUAUCAUUAUUUUAUGAAAAUUUGUAAUAAAGAUGGCUUUUUUUUAGACCCUCUUUUGAAUUCUUGAAGUAGAUUUUAAACAAAAAUUUUGUGUAUGCGUGUUUUUGAGCUUCGCAGUGAAGCAAAGUUCACUAUAAUGGUGAAAAAGAUGAACGCGGGGAAGGGGGCAGUGAAGAUGAACGCUGGGAAGGGACCUUGGGGUAGGUGGGGAUUAGUUUUUUAUUUUCAUUUUUUAAAUAAUUUUAUAAAUUUUCAUUUGUAAAAAUUUUAUAAUUUCUUUUUAAUAAUCAAUUUUUUAUUUUUAUUUUUUAAAUAAUUUUAUAAAUUUUCAUUUGUAAAAAUUUUAUAAUUUCUUUUUAAUAAUCAAUUUUUUAUUUUUAUUUUUUAAAUAAUUUUAUAAAUUUUCAUUUGUAAAAAUUUUAUAAUUUCUUUUUAAUAAUCAAUUUUUUAUUUUUAUUUUUUAAAUAAUUUUAUAAAUUUUCAUUUGUAAAAAUUUUAUAAUUUCUUUUUAAUAAUCAAUUUUUUAUUUUUAUUUUUUAAAUAAUUUUAUAAAUUUUCAUUUGUAAAAAUUUUAUAAUUUCUUUUUAAUAAUCAAUUUUUUAUUUUUAUUUUUUAAAUAAUUUUAUAAUUAAUUUUUAAUAAUUAUUGGACACACAAUGCUACGUGUCAGCUUUCAAUUAGUCUUUUUUGCCAUAUUAUUGCGUGUGUGCAACACACACUUUAAGCUUUUAGCUGAUUGAGUAAAAAAUAUCUAUUUGAAACCAAAUUCAAAAUUUAAAAAUUUAAUAAGUACAAAUGAUGUAAGUGAAUUUUUGGACAAAGUUUGAGCGCUAUCAAUGGCUGUGGCCUAAUUAUUAAAGGCCUAAUUAUUAUUACAUGAAGUUAGUACUAAAUUUAUAAAGAAAACGGUAAAAAUUACCUCUGGAAAGGACAUUAUUCUUUUCUGCAAUAGUUUCAGUUUCUGGAUUGGCG
rnacentral:lncRNA from 1 species